CCUACGGGGAGCAGCAGUGGGGAAUAUUGGGCAAUGGGCGAAAGCCUGACCCAGCAACGCCGCGUGAAGGAAGAAGGCUUUCGGGUUGUAAACUUCUUUUGACAGGGAAGAGCAGAAGACGGUACCUGUCGAAUAAGCCACGGCUAACUACGUGCCAGCAGCCGCGGUAAUACGUAGGUGGCAAGCGUUGUCCGGAUUUACUGGGUGUAAAGGGCGUGUAGCCGGGCUGACAAGUCAGAUGUGAAAUCCGGGGGCUCAACCCCCGAACUGCAUUUGAAACUGUUGGUCUUGAGUAUCGGAGAGGCAGGCGGAAUUCCUAGUGUAGCGGUGAAAUGCGUAGAUAUUAGGAGGAACACCAGUGGCGAAGGCAGCCUGCUGGACGACAACUGACGGUGUGGCGCGAAAGCGUGGGGAGCAAACAGGAUUAGAUACCCUUGUAGUC
rnacentral:rRNA from 1 species